rnacentral:misc_RNA from 1 species
CGUCACGAAAGUUGGUAACACCCGAAGCUCAUGGCCUAACCGGUUUGCCGGGGGGAGUGGUCGAAGGUGGGAUUGGCGAUUGGGACGAAGUCGUAACAAGGUAGCCGUACCGGAAGGUGCGGCUGGAUCACCUCCUUUCUAGGGAGCCCUGUUGGGGGAUUGCUGUGCUGUGCUGCCUGUGGGUGGUGUGGUGUGGUGGUUUCUUGUGCUCAUGUUUGGUCAUCAUGCGUUGUGUGUGGUGGGUGUGGGUGCGUUGUGGGGUUGGGUGUAGAUGAUGGACACGCUGUCGGGUUCACGGUCAAUACCUGUUGGCCGGUGGCCCCUUUUUGUGGGGUGUGUGGCUUGCUGGCUGCCCGCGCGUGUGUGUGUGGUGGUUGGUGUGGUGGGUUGUUUGUGAUUUGUAUAGUGGUUGUGAGCAUCUUUUUUGUUCUGUGGUUUUGUUUAGUUGUGUGGGGCAUUCGGUGGAUGCCUUGGCAUCAAGAGCUGAUGAAGGACGUUGCGGCCUGCGAUAUGCCUCGGGGAGUUGGCGAGCGAACUGUGAUCCGAGGGUGUCCGAAUGGGGGAACCUAGCUGGGGUUGUGCCUGGUUACCAUCAUCUG